GAGUUUGAUCGUGGCUCAGAUUGAACGCUGGCGGCAUGCCUUACACAUGCAAGUCGAACGGCAGCACGGGAGCUUGCUCCUGGUGGGCGAGUGGCGAACGGGUGAGUAAUGCAUCGGAACGUAUCCUGGAGUGGGGGAUAACGUAGCGAAAGUUACGCUAAUACCGCAUAUUCUGUGAGCAGGAAAGCGGGGGACCUUCGGGCCUCGCGCUCUUGGAGCGGCCGAUGUCGGAUUAGCUAGUUGGUGAGGUAAAGGCUCACCAAGGCGACGAUCCGUAGCAGGUCUGAGAGGAUGAUCUGCCACACUGGAACUGAGACACGGUCCAGACUCCUACGGGAGGCAGCAGUGGGAAUUUUGGACAAUGGGGGCAACCCUGACUCCAGCCAUGCCGCGUGAGUGAAG
rnacentral:rRNA from 1 species